GAUGAACGCUGGCGGCGUGCCUAAUACAUGCAAGUCGAGCGAAUGGAUUAAGAGCUUGCUCUUAUGAAGUUAGCGGCGGACGGGUGAGUAACACGUGGGCAACCUACCUUGUAGAUGGGGAUAACAUCGAGAAAUCGGUGCUAAUACCGAAUAAUACUUUUCUCCACAUGGAGGAAAGUUAAAAGUUGGCUUUUGCUAACACUACAAGAUGGGCCCGCGGCGCAUUAGCUAGUUGGUGAGGUAACGGCUCACCAAGGCGACGAUGCGUAGCCGACCUGAGAGGGUGAGCGGCAACACUGGGACUGAGACACGGCCCAGACGCCUACGGGAGGCAGCAGUAGGGAAUCUUCCGCAAUGGACGAAAGUCUGACGGAGCAACGCCGCGUGAGUGAUGAAGGCCUUCGGGUCGUAAAACUCUGUUGUUAGGGAAGAACAAGUACCGUUCGAAUAGGGCGGUGCCGUGACGGUACCUAACCAGAAAGCCACGGCUAACUACGUGCCAGCAGCCGCCGUAA
rnacentral:rRNA from 1 species